rnacentral:lncRNA from 1 species
UGGAUGACGACGGUAGCAGGACCUAAAAAAAGAAGAAAAAGGAAGAGGAAAAGAGAUUCUUCUUUUUCUUUUUUGAUAUGUAUUAUUUUUUUAAAAUUUUUUUAGUUUUUUAGUGGGGGGGAGGAGAAGAGAGAGGCUCUUUUUUUUAUUUUUUUUUUACCUUGGGGGAAGUCGGACGACGGGCAGGGCUCGAUGAGGUAGCGCCGCAUUCUUUGGAUUUUUUUUUUGUUCUCUCAUCUCUCUCUGUAUCUCUCUUCGUAUCGCUAUCCUCUCUCUGUUCUCUCUAUCUCUAUGUAUUAUCUUUUCUUAAUCCUCAAAAGGGAAAAUCUGAGGAAUCGGAUUGAUUCGUGGGUUGGGCGAGAGAUAUUUUGAGGAGUCAGUUGGGGAUUCAAAAUUCGAAAUCGAAUUUUGAAUUAGUUGUUGGAGGGAUAGAAAUUUUCUAUUCAGUUGGGAGUUUAAAAAUUCGAACUUUGAAUUUUCAAAGAUCGAAUUUUGGGAUACGGAUGUGGUGGUUAGGAGAUAUUUUGGGGGUUGGUUGGGGGUUCAAAAUUCAAAAUCGAAUUCUGAAAGAAAAGGGAUAUGCAUGAGAUCGUUAGGAUAAGAGAUAUUUUCAAAAUUUGAAAAAGAAUUAGGCUGAGAUCGGGUCCAUGUUGAUGAAGCCUGUUGGG